rnacentral:tRNA from 1 species
UCCCUAGUGGCUCAGAUGGUAAAGCAUCUGCCUACAAUGUGGGAGACCCGGGUUCAAUUCCUGGGUCAGGAA